UACAGAGGUCUCAAGCGUUGUUCGGAUUCAUUGGGCGUAAAGGGUGCGUAGGUGGUUAGGUAAGUCGGAUGUGAAAUCCCGGGGCCAACCCUGGAACUGCAUUCGAUACUGCCUGACUUGAGUACUGGAGAGGAGAUUGGAAUUUACGGUGUAGCAGUGAAAUGCGUAGAUAUCGUAAGGAAGACCAGUGGCGAAGGCGGAUCUCUGGACAGUUACUGACACUGGAGGCACGAAGGCCAGGGGAGCAAACGGG
rnacentral:rRNA from 1 species